AUGGGAGGUUCGUGGCGUUUCUUCUUUAGCUUCUUCGGCAGUUUCAAAGCGUGGUGGCGACGGAGACAGAGAUCGAACCAGGCAGGAACGGACGAUGAGAUGUAUGGUGAAGAUAGUGAAGCCAACUUCUAUAAUUGGUACCUCGUUGAACCAGCUAUUAACCGGAGAUCCACUGAUUUCAUCAAAAGGUUCCACGAGACUCGUGACUGA